UGAAGAGAAUAAAGGAGAAUGUGCCACUUCUGAGACUGAGUCAUGGGAAGCACCACGGCCUCCAUCUUGGAUGAGAAGCAACAAGGAACAUGUAAAUGAGAGAAGGCAGAGAGGACUGUGACAAGGAGUCUGCGACUUUAACACUUUUCUCCACUGGCACAGACCGCAGUCUGACCUCAUUCCUGCCUCCCUCUUCAGACAGAGAGCUCCCAAACUGAGGACCUGUAUUUGUUCGUCUGGAGACCCUAAGCCCCUGAAAGGUAAAGACUGAGUAAGUAACUCAUUGGAAUGUUAUGGAAUCCCUGUCCCUGCUGCAGGUGACUGGCCUGCAAUGGGUGACUGAGGCCUGGGUGUGGAAAUUGUGGCUGACACUAAACUGUGCCACUCAACAAAAUUAGGAUCAGUGGAUUCAAAGCAUGGGCCAAAGCAAGCCAGAUAAAAUGUAAUGCUUCAAAACAUAAAACCGUGGACUUGAAUUGCAAAAUUCAGCUGGGAUGAAAGUGAUUUGAUGAAAGAGUAGAGCCUAUAAGCAAGAUGUGGAGGUUCUAAUUACCUUCAAACUCAGUAUGAGUCAGUAAUGUUACAUGACUGGCAAAGAACAAAAAUCAGAGUAAAAACAGGUAGUUUGAUAUAAGGCUACAUUAGGAGAAGUAUGCCAUCUAAAACAAAGGAGGUGAUAGCCCUCUUAUUUCCCUCACUGCAUCCAAGUCAAAUCUUUCCUGGGAUAUAAUGUCCAGCCCUGUGCACUAUGUCUCCUGGGACACAUGACUGAACAGAAUACCUUCAAAUAAAAGUAACCAGGAGGGUGCUUUCA
rnacentral:lncRNA from 1 species